rnacentral:rRNA from 1 species
GACGAACGCUGGCGGCGUGCUUAACACAUGCAAGUCGAACGGAAAGGCCCUGAUUUUGUGGGGUGCUCGAGUGGCGAACGGGUGAGUAACACGUGAGUAACCUGCCCUUUACUUUGGGAUAACUUCAGGAAAAUGGGUCUAAUAUCGGAUAUGAGCUCCUGCUGCACGGUGGGGGUUGGAAAGUUUCGGCGUUUCGGGAUGGACGCGCGGCUUAUCAGCUUGUUGGUGGGGUGGUGGGUUACCAAGGCGUCGACGGGUAGCCGGCCUGAGAGGGUGACCGGGCACAUUGGGACUGGGGUAGGGCCCGGACUCCUACGGGAGGCAGCGGUGGGGAAUAUUGCGCAAUGGGCGGAGGCCUGAUGGAGCAUCGCCGCGUGCUGGAGGACGGCCUUCGGGUUGUAACCCGCUUUCGCCUGUGACGAAGCGUGAGUGACGGUAAUGUGUAAAGAAGCACCGGCUAACUACGUG